rnacentral:rRNA from 1 species
GGUUAAGCGACUAAGCGUACACGGUGGAUGCCCUGGCAGUCAGAGGCGAUGAAGGACGUGCUAAUCUGCGAUAAGCGUCGGUAAGGUGAUAUGAACCGUUAUAACCGGCGAUUUCCGAAUGGGGAAACCCAGUGUGUUUCGACACACUAUCAUUAACUGAAUCCAUAGGUUAAUGAGGCGAACCGGGGGAACUGAAACAUCUAAGUACCCCGAGGAAAAGAAAUCAACCGAGAUUCCCCCAGUAGCGGCGAGCGAACGGGGAGCAGCCCAGAGCCUGAAUCAGUGUGUGUGUUAGUGGAAGCGUCUGGAAAGGCGCGCGAUACAGGGUGACAGCCCCGUACACAAAAAUGCACAUAUUGUGAGCUCGAUGAGUAGGGCGGGACACGUGGUAUCCUGUCUGAAUAUGGGGGGACCAUCCUCCAAGGCUAAAUACUCCUGACUGACCGAUAGUGAACCAGUACCGUGAGGGAAAGGCGAAAAGAACCCCGGCGAGGGGAGUGAAAAAGAACCUGAAACCGUGUACGUACAAGCAGUGGGAGCACGCUUAGGCGUGUGACUGCGUACCUUUUGUAUAAUGGGUCAGCGACUUAUAUUCUGUAGCAAGGUUAACCGAAUAGGGGAGCCGAAGGGAAACCGAGUCUUAACUGGGCGUUAAGUUGCAGGGUAUAGACCCGAAACCCGGUGAUCUAGCCAUGGGCAGGUUGAAGGUUGGGUAACACUAACUGGAGGACCGAACCGACUAAUGUUGAAAAAUUAGCGGAUGACUUGUGGCUGGGGGUGAAAGGCCAAUCAAACCGGGAGAUAGCUGGUUCUCCCCGAAAGCUAUUUAGGUAGCGCCUCGUGAAUUCAUCUCCGGGGGUAGAGCACUGUUUCGGCAAGGGGGUCAUCCCGACUUACCAACCCGAUGCAAACUGCGAAUACCGGAGAAUGUUAUCACGGGAGACACACGGCGGGUGCUAACGUCCGUCGUGAAGAGGGAAACAACCCAGACCGCCAGCUAAGGUCCCAAAGUCAUGGUUAAGUGGGAAACGAUGUGGGAAGGCCCAGACAGCCAGGAUGUUGGCUUAGAAGCAGCCAUCAUUUAAAGAAAGCGUAAUAGCUCACUGGUCGAGUCGGCCUGCGCGGAAGAUGUAACGGGGCUAAACCAUGCACCGAAGCUGCGGCAGCGACGCUUAUGCGUUGUUGGGUAGGGGAGCGUUCUGUAAGCCUGCGAAGGUGUGCUGUGAGGCAUGCUGGAGGUAUCAGAAGUGCGAAUGCUGACAUAAGUAACGAUAAAGCGGGUGAAAAGCCCGCUCGCCGGAAGACCAAGGGUUCCUGUCCAACGUUAAUCGGGGCAGGGUGAGUCGACCCCUAAGGCGAGGCCGAAAGGCGUAGUCGAUGGGAAACAGGUUAAUAUUCCUGUACUUGGUGUUACUGCGAAGGGGGGACGGAGAAGGCUAUGUUGGCCGGGCGACGGUUGUCCCGGUUUAAGCGUGUAGGCUGGUUUUCCAGGCAAAUCCGGAAAAUCAAGGCUGAGGCGUGAUGACGAGGCACUACGGUGCUGAAGCAACAAAUGCCCUGCUUCCAGGAAAAGCCUCUAAGCAUCAGGUAACAUCAAAUCGUACCCCAAACCGACACAGGUGGUCAGGUAGAGAAUACCAAGGCGCUUGAGAGAACUCGGGUGAAGGAACUAGGCAAAAUGGUGCCGUAACUUCGGGAGAAGGCACGCUGAUAUGUAGGUGAAGUCCCUCGCGGAUGGAGCUGAAAUCAGUCGAAGAUACCAGCUGGCUGCAACUGUUUAUUAAAAACACAGCACUGUGCAAACACGAAAGUGGACGUAUACGGUGUGACGCCUGCCCGGUGCCGGAAGGUUAAUUGAUGGGGUCAGCGCAAGCGAAGCUCUUGAUCGAAGCCCCGGUAAACGGCGGCCGUAACUAUAACGGUCCUAAGGUAGCGAAAUUCCUUGUCGGGUAAGUUCCGACCUGCACGAAUGGCGUAAUGAUGGCCAGGCUGUCUCCACCCGAGACUCAGUGAAAUUGAACUCGCUGUGAAGAUGCAGUGUACCCGCGGCAAGACGGAAAGACCCCGUGAACCUUUACUAUAGCUUGACACUGAACAUUGAGCCUUGAUGUGUAGGAUAGGUGGGAGGCUUUGAAGUGUGGACGCCAGUCUGCAUGGAGCCGACCUUGAAAUACCACCCUUUAAUGUUUGAUGUUCUAACGUUGACCCGUAAUCCGGGUUGCGGACAGUGUCUGGUGGGUAGUUUGACUGGGGCGGUCUCCUCCUAAAGAGUAACGGAGGAGCACGAAGGUUGGCUAAUCCUGGUCGGACAUCAGGAGGUUAGUGCAAUGGCAUAAGCCAGCUUGACUGCGAGCGUGACGGCGCGAGCAGGUGCGAAAGCAGGUCAUAGUGAUCCGGUGGUUCUGAAUGGAAGGGCCAUCGCUCAACGGAUAAAAGGUACUCCGGGGAUAACAGGCUGAUACCGCCCAAGAGUUCAUAUCGACGGCGGUGUUUGGCACCUCGAUGUCGGCUCAUCACAUCCUGGGGCUGAAGUAGGUCCCAAGGGUAUGGCUGUUCGCCAUUUAAAGUGGUACGCGAGCUGGGUUUAGAACGUCGUGAGACAGUUCGGUCCCUAUCUGCCGUGGGCGCUGGAGAACUGAGGGGGGCUGCUCCUAGUACGAGAGGACCGGAGUGGACGCAUCACUGGUGUUCGGGUUGUCAUGCCAAUGGCACUGCCCGGUAGCUAAAUGCGGAAGAGAUAAGUGCUGAAAGCAUCUAAGCACGAAACUUGCCCCGAGAUGAGUUCUCCCUGACUCCUUGAGAGUCCUGAAGGAACGUUGAAGACGACGACGUUGAUAGGCCGGGUGUGUAAGCGCAGCGAUGCGUUGAGCUAACCGGUACUAAUGAACCGUGAGGCUUAACCUU